rnacentral:lncRNA from 1 species
GACGUGGUGGCGCUGCAGGCUAAACCGCAGAAGCCUGUGCUGCAGGGUCAGAAGACCAAGCAGUCGUAAGAUCGAAUCCACGCGACGGAGUGAGCGCCCGUCGCUUGUCCCAGCUCCCGCCAACCUAGCGGUUCGAAAGCAUGCAAAUGCGAGUAGAUAAAUAGGGACCACCUCGUGGGAAGGUAACAGCGUUCCGUGUCUAAGUCGCACUGGCCAUGUGACCACGGAAGAUUGUCUUCGGACAAAACGCUGGCUCUAUGGCUUGGAAACGGGGAUGAGCACCGCCCCCUAGAGUCGAACAUGACUGAACAAAAAUUGUCAAGGGGAACCUUUACCUUUACCAACUGCCUCAGGGAUCACACGCUGUGGAGAGGUGGGAAGAGAUUCCUUGGAGGAUGGAGCUUUCUCUCCUAGAUUUCUCCUUGGAGAAUUGAGCUGGGUGUGUGAGGCAACCUCUCCUUCGCCCCCAAAUCUACUCAGCUCCUCUGAGGGGGUUCCAGAUGGGAUUGAAUCUUAGAAUCAUGGAAGGGGCCUACAAGGCCAUCGAGUCCAACCCCCUGCUCAAGGCAGGAGUCCAAAUCACAGCAGAUCCAACAGAUGGUUUUCCAAUUUUCUCCUGAAUGCCUCUAGUGUAGGAGCGCUCACCACUUCCUGAGAUCAAUGGUUCCUUUGUCAUACUACUCUUAAGAGUUAAGAAGUUUUUCCUGAUCUAAAGAGGUGUGGCCAUUCUGUGGUAUUCCAACCCCCCCCCCUUUUGGAGUGGCAGAGGGCUGGACUAGAUGGCCCUCGGGUGACUCCAACUGCACCACUGAUUCGUGGAUUCUGCAAUUCUGCUCUCCCCCCCCGGCAACAGUACAGUCCAAGUGAGUAUUCCAGAGGGUCCAGCCUCACCCAGAAAAAGAGCAUGGCCCCGGGCAGAGGCUUCCCAUCCAUCACUAUCUCCGGUGCGAGCAGCGACCGCAGCGACCGGAAAGAAAGCUCCAUCUCCAGCACUCUGCCGCACAUUUCCAUUACGACCCAGUCCUUCGUGAGCCAAAUACCAGAGGUGGACGAAGAGGUCUCCGUGUCCAGCACCCCCCACCCGGACCCCAUCAAGAGCCCUCCUGUCAAGGCCUCCGAUGCCAGCAUUCAGACGGAGGCUUUAGACAGCAAUAGGUAACUGGGGGGAC